UACGAAGGGGGCUAGCGUUGCUCGGAAUCACUGGGCGUAAAGCGCACGUAGGCGGCUUUUUAAGUCAGGGGUGAAAUCCUGGAGCUCAACUCCAGAACUGCCUUUGAUACUGGAAAGCUCGAGUCCGGAAGAGGUGAGUGGAACUGCGAGUGUAGAGGUGAAAUUCGUAGAUAUUGGGUGGAACACCGGUGGCGAAAGCGGCUCACUGGCUCGGUUCUGACGCUGAGGCGCGAAAGCGUGGGGAGCAAACAGG
rnacentral:rRNA from 1 species